UACGUAGGGUGCAAGCGUUGUCCGGAUUUAUUGGGCGUAAAGAGCUCGUAGUCGGUUUGUCGCGUCUGCUGUGAAAACUCGGGGCUUAACCCCGGGCCUGCAGUGGGUACGGGCAGACUAGAGUGCGGUAGGGGAGACUGGAAUUCCUGGUGUAGCGGUGAAAUGCGCAGAUAUCAGGAGGAACACCGGUGGCGAAGGCGGAUCUCUGGGCCAUUACUGACGCUGAGGAGCGAAAGCGUGGGGAGCGAACAGG
rnacentral:rRNA from 1 species